CUUCUUCUUCUUCUUCUUCUUCUUCUUCUUCAUUUUCAGAAUGGAAAGUUCUGGAACAAACGACUAUGGUUCAUACACUUACCAAAACCUUGAGAGAGAGCCUUAUUGGCCAUCAGAAAA